rnacentral:rRNA from 1 species
AGAGUUUGAUCCUGGCUCAGGACGAACGCCGGCGGCGUGCUUAACACAUGCAAGUCGAACGGUAAGGCCCUUCGGGGUACACGAGUGGCGAACGGGUGAGUAACACGUGGGUAAUCUGCCCUGCACAUCGGGAUAAGCCUGGGAAACUGGGUCUAAUACCGAAUAGGACCACAGGACACAUGUCCUGUGGUGGAAAGCUUUUGCGGUGUGGGAUGGGCCCGCGGCCUAUCAGCUUGUUGGUGGGGUGAUGGCCUACCAAGGCGACGACGGGUAGCCGGCCUGAGAGGGUGUCCGGCCACACUGGGACUGAGAUACGGCCCAGACUCCUACGGGAGGCAGCAGUGGGGAAUAUUGCACAAUGGGCGAAAGCCUGAUGCAGCGACGCCGCGUGGGGGAUGACGGCCUUCGGGUUGUAAACCUCUUUCACCAUCGACGAAGGUCCGGGUUUUCUCGGGCUGACGGUAGGUGGAGAAGAAGCACCGGCCAACUACGUGCCAGCAGCCGCGGUAAUACGUAGGGUGCGAGCGUUGUCCGGAAUUACUGGGCGUAAAGAGCUCGUAGGUGGUUUGUCGCGUUGUUCGUGAAAUCUCACGGCUUAACUGUGAGCGUGCGGGCGAUACGGGCAGACUUGAGUACUGCAGGGGAGACUGGAAUUCCUGGUGUAGCGGUGGAAUGCGCAGAUAUCAGGAGGAACACCGGUGGCGAAGGCGGGUCUCUGGGCAGUAACUGACGCUGAGGAGCGAAAGCGUGGGGAGCGAACAGGAUUAGAUACCCUGGUAGUCC